AUGGCUUCAUCCGCCGCCGCUUCCUCCCCUCUCUCCGGCCAGAUCACCGAGCGCCUCACCCGCACCAACUACGUCUUAUGGCGCACCCAGAUCACGCCACAGCUGAGAGGGGCUGGAGUCUUCGGAUACGUUGAUGGAAGCACGGCGGAGCCGGCCAAGCUCGUCGUCAGCAAGGACAAGGAUGGAAAGGAGGAAGCCAUCCCCAAUCCCCUCCAUGCCGUCUGGUUCAGAGAGGACCAGCAGGUACUUGGGUAUCUUCUCAAUAAUAUGUCAAAAGAAGUAUUAGUGCAGGUGACUUCCAUCGAGCAUGCACGAGAGCUCUGGACAGCGUUGGCGAGCAUGUUCUCGUCGACGUCCCUGUCCCGCGUCAACAACAUCCGAGCUGCCCUCACAAAUGCG
rnacentral:rRNA from 1 species